rnacentral:lncRNA from 1 species
CAAGGCCAGACAGAUUCAUUUGCCUGCCAGUGACUGUCUUUGCCUCCCUCUUUCCCUCCGUCCCCCAAUUCUCCUGCACUGAAUAUUUCUUAUCCAUUUAGCUGGCUCUGGUUCAGUCCCAAAAAGCACCCUAUUCCCUGUAUAGUGCACGCACUAGUGUUGAUCAGAGUCCUAUAGGCCCUGUCCAAAAGUAGUGCACUACAUAGGGAAUUGGGUGCCAUUUGGGACUCAGACUGGCUGCGUGCAUUCAGCAGUGUGUAGUGUGGUGGUGGGUGGGUUGAAUUAAAGUGACACAACUGCAGUACGUGCCACUCCGUAGCUAAAGAGAGCAGAGCAGCACUCCAGGGUCUGUGAGCUGUGAGAGACAUUUAAAAGGGAAGUAACCGUUUCAGUAGAGCAACGAGCCACAGAGAGAGAGAGAGAGAGAGAGAGGAGGAUAGAGCUUCUCACUAUGCUGUAGAGCAUCCAUGACUCUAAUCUAGUUUAUAAAGGAUCCUGAUAGGAACUGGGAGAGAGAAAUGUGUUUUAUAUUCUCAAAGAUUUAACUCAGUGUGUUAUUUUGGAUGAUGCAUAUCUGUGUUUUCCACAGCACUGAAUCUGGAUGCAGGAUCUAACCAGCCCAGAACUGCAGCAAGUCAGCUGGUUUUAUCCAUUUACCCCAUAUGGCUUUUUCCUCCCUUUUUCUCUUCUAUUUGUUUGAAUUUCGAAGAUGAGCAAGAGGCAGUCGGUCAGCUGCACAGUGAGCACAGGGGAGCAGGAGGACACACAGAACAGUACAGGCAUUUUCAAAUAGAACUAUAAAAGGAGGAGAGGAAGAGGAGGAGGAAGAGGAGAGUCUGUGUUGUGUGGCAGAGUUGUGGUGUUCCCUGCUCAGUGCCUAGCAGUAACAUGGCUGUGAUACAGAAGAGGGAACACAGGGAGACCCCCAGCAAGAAGACAGCACCCCAAGAAGACAGAAAGGGUCUUUCUACCAGAGAUACUCUAGACAAGCAGAAAAAGGAGAGCAGAGCCGGGAGACGGAGAGAAAAAGGCAAUGAAGACACAAAGCCCAAUAAUUCAGAGAAGAGGAGAGCAGUCAUCUGUGUCCCUGCCUCCAUCAAAUCAGCUGUGAUCAGUAACAACACAACCAGUCACGCAGCAGGGCCACAGGCGCUGAAGGUUGAUGACAGGCUGAGACUAGCGAAGGAGCGGAGGGAGGAGCAUGAGAAUCAGCUUGUGUCCAGAGAGCUGGGCUGGUUGGCUCGAGAGGAGCGAGCCAGGCGUCUUUAUGAGCAGCAGCUGGAGGUGAGGAAGAGGAGGCUACAGGAGCAGAGAGAGAAGGAGGAGAAGCGAAGGACAGCUCUUGAGCGGAGGGAGGAGCUUAAGAAACAGCUUGUGUCCAGAGAGCUGGGCCGGUUGGCUCGAGAGGAGCGGGCCAGGCAUCUCCAUGAACAGCACCUGGAGGAGAGGAAGAGGAGGCUGCAGGAGCAGAGAGAGAAGGAGGAGAGGAGGCGCACUGCCGUGGAGGAGAAGAGGAGGCAGAGGAUGAAGGAGGAGACAGUGAGUUAUUGUGCCUCAGGGGUCAGAUGUAGCAGUAGUUACUUCUGAUUAGGUGUCUAUUGUGGGCAUCAGUGUUGCUUUACAGAAAAUAAAAUGCACUGGUUUAAGUUGAGGGUCGUUAGUACAGGUGGAUGGAUGGUUUCUGUUGGAGCAAGGACUGGAUGGAGGCGGAUAACUAUUUAACAGCUUUAUUGAACAAGCUACAUUGAACAUCAUCAGCCACCGGAACUAGAACUAUCUGUUAGUGAUGGGUUGUUCGCGAACGAGUUAGAGCCGGCUCUUGUAGGUGAAUGUUGGGAGCCGGCUCGCAUAUCAGAAGAGACUAAUCUAUUUAUAAAAAAUAUAAAAAUAAAGAUAUGAAUAUAAAUUAAUAGAAUUAACUAAUUCAAAGAAUGAAAAAUAACAAUAAUAUAGGCCUAAAUGCUCAAGCGCACACACAUUAGUUCUGACUGUCUGCUCAGACUAACAGCCUCACCUGUUGUUCCUGUCAAUCAGACAAGCAGUGUCAACCAAUGAACCAAAGAUGCAUGAGGGAGGUCCGAGCCAACUCACUCACAGUCACAGACUUAGCAGCCGAGGAGAGAGAGGAAGGACAGCUGUGAAAACAACAUCUGAAAAAUUAGUUGGAAGCACAGCAGCAUUUGGAUGCAUUUUAAUAAUGUAGACAAUGUUAGAGCACAGUGUAGAAUUUGCCAAAACAAAAUCUCAUAUAAAGCCGGUUCUACACACAACCUACACCGGCAUAUGCGAACUGUGCACCCAACUGUGAAGCUAGCUGUAUCGGAGAAACUAGUGGGCCUGCUAGUGAUAGUGGUGGAGCCAGCAUCUCGUAUCCACUCAGUCAAGUAGGCCUACUCCGGGACCCACAGCAAUGCAGUCUUCUAUGGACCAGUUUAUGCCAAAGACUAUGUCUGUAGCAAAACAAGGCCAAAUUGAUAUUGCAUUGGCUAAAAGGAUUGUCACCGAUUUCCAGACUGAACUACAAGGUGGAUUUCAGCAUUUCAGCAUUUUACAUGUUGAAGCGGUUUCUGCACCUGUUGAUGCUGUUGAUGCUCUGCUCUGUUGAUGCUCUGACCCAAGAGGAAUGGGAGGUGGUGGAGGAGGUGUGCAGAGUCCUGGAACCCUUUGAGCAGGUCACUGUGGAGAUCAGUGGAGAGGUACAGUAAGCAGUUAUUACUACAUCAUUAUUUAAUCCAGUAUUAUAUAUGUAGAUGACCAGUAGAUGAGAAUGUAGUAUCCGUAGACAAAACAUGAACCUAAACUAAUAAGUUACUGUUCUCUCUUUUCAGCUAUGUGACAGCCUCAAAAAUGAUACUCCUGUGUCAGGGUCUGCAGCGAAUCACAACCAGCCGCCAGAGAGAAGCAAAUGUAACCACAGGACAUGUGACAGAGUUGAUGGACACCCUAUGUUCAUCAAUGGACAGAAAGAUCCACAGGAUGGAAUAUAAUCAUGUGCUAUCAGAAACCGCUGCACUUGACCCCAGGUUUAAGAAGUUAGCCUUCAGUGAUGCCAGAGCGAUUGAUGAGGCUCUUCAAAGAAUAACCUCAGCAGCAGGGAGAGACAGCCCCAGCAGUCAUCUGGCUCAGACACCAAGGCAACAGGAAGAAGAGGGAUCAGAUGGAGCAGAAGCACCAGAAGUAGUGCCACCAACUCAGUCGGCUGUUUGGAUGCUGUUUGUCAAUGAGCAACUGGGAAUGUAGCAUGAAGGAAUCCCUCAGCAGAUGCCAUAGUGGAGGUCCAAUCCUAUUUGGAGGAGCACCUCCUUUGGAGGAGCCCCUCCUCUGCAGAUCCUUUCAGCUGGUGGAAGAACAAGGCCUCUGUCUACCCAGAGCUUACUAAAGUCAUGACAGGGAGACUCUGCAUAGCGGUCACAUCCGUUCCCUCUAAGAGGGUCUUCUCGAAAACGGGACAAAUAAUUACUGAGAGAAGAAACCGCAUCAGCCCCUAGAAAGUGAGGCAGCUUGCAUUUCUGAACACAAAUCUCUCAUAAAAGCGUAAUAUGGUCAGCAUUGCGGUGUGCUGCUGGUUAUAACAUGGCAAUAAAGAAGAGCGCGAAAAGAGGGACCAGUUUAAUGUUUUAAGUGGGAUGCUGCAGUUUUGCACCUAAUUUAUUUGUCUGUGAUAUGGUGCAAUAUUCUAUUAUGCUGUUCAGAUUGUAUUCGUUCUGAAUGUUUAGAUUUAUAUGCACUUUGUUUAUACACAAUAAAAAGUUAUACUUUAAAUGCAAAUGUUUAAUAGCAUUAUUUUUCAAAACAAACCAAUGCAUUUUUAAAUACAUUGUGGUUAAGGUAGAGUAGAGAUUUAAUUGAAUAAUUUAAUUAGAAUUGUUUUAACACCAAUCAUAGUCAAACUAUCGCAAACUGUUUGAUUUGAAAAAAUACAAAACAUUUUUUUUUUAAAGAGCCGUUUGGGAGCCAAAAGAGACGGCUCUUUUUGAUGAGCUGAGCUGAACGGCCGGCUCACUGAAAAGAACCGGAAUGCCCAUCACUGCAGUCUGUUGCUUCCUGUAUCAAUAAAGCUUAACCCCACACAAUUAAAGAAUUGGCCAAUAGGAAAAUAAAUAUUUAGUUACCAGGUAAAGAAAUAGGUAAACAGUUAUUUCCUGUAACACAGAUUCACAGCACAUCAGCAACGUCUAUAACUGCCCAAUAAAUUAAAUUAUUACCCAGGAAAUAAUCCAGAAAACAGAUACAGUUUUCAACGUUUUGUGUUUCUAUCUGAAGCUAAACAGUUGUAAGGCUCAAUACGAUGUAAUGGAUCUUGGACCAAGUUACUGAAUAGCGUGUCUUGCUCGCCAAACUCAUACAGUGGAUGUGAGAAGAGACUACUGUAUCACUGACAAUGAGGUUUGUUGUUGUCUGAAGGAGCGCUAUGAGUCUGUGGUGAAGAAGACCUUAGAGAAGUGCCAGAGGGCCAAACAGAGACUGAGCCAGGGCUCUCGAGGAAGGAAGACCAACAACAAGAGCGGUAAAUGAGUAAAGAAUAUGUUUCAAAUGGCGCCCUAUAUCCUAUUUGGUGCACUACUUUUGAGUGUCUGUUUGACUUUGCUUCAUCUUCUUAACCCUUCAGCUACCAAGCUUUAUUCUUUCACCCUGUAACAUCUUUAGACCUUAUCUUUCGUCUGAUUUC